ensembl:lncRNA
GUAGUGUAGGGUGGUCAGUUGUCAUAGUGUCUGGUAGUGUAGUGUAGGGUGGUCAGUUGUCAUAGUGUCUGGUAGUGUAGUGUAGUGUCUGGUAGUGUAGGGUGGUCAGUUGUCAUAGUGUCUGGUAGUGUAGGGUUGUCAUAGUGUCUGGUAGUGUAGGGUGGUCAUAGUGUAGGGUGGUCAGUUGUCAUAGUGUCUGGUAGUGUAGGGUUGUCAUAGUGUCUGGUAGUGUAGGGUGGUCAGUUGUCAUAGUGUCUGGUAGUGUAGGGUGGACAGUUGUCAUAGUGUCUGGUAGUGUAGGGUGGUCAGUUGUCAUAGUGUCUGG